rnacentral:rRNA from 1 species
CCUACGGGAGGCAGCAGUGGGGAAUAUUGGACAAUGGGGGGAACCCUGAUCCAGCCAUGCCGCGUGUGUGAAGAAGGCCUUAUGGUUGUAAAGCACUUUAAGCGAGGAGGAGGCUCUUUUGGUUAAUACCCAAGAGUAGUGGACGUUACUCGCAGAAUAAGCACCGGCUAACUCUGUGCCAGCAGCCGCGGUAAU